UAUAAAUAAGUAUAUCCUCCAUUCCCGUCUCCAAAACUGUCCUGUCAAAUGCGUAAUGACGUCAUACGUCACGCUGUGCGUCCUGUCACGUGACGGUGCGCGGCCAAUCGGGUUGUUUUAUAUCCGGAAGUCACUCGCGAGCCGCGAGCUUCGAGAGGGGGACGCAUUGGGAACACUUGCUGCAAGGAGCCAACUACCGGAGCCGCCAGGCGUCGUGUGGAGUCGCGGGUGUUGAUUAAAGAAGGAAUUGGCCAGGUGAUGGCGAGCUAGACCCAAAGAAUUCUAGGCCCACACCGCCUGAAGAACCCUGGAGCGUGAACUGAACUGGACCUCCUGCACCUCCUCCACCUGGUUGGGCUGGUAGGAGGCUCCUUUAAGGCAGCCGCCCCUUUCUUUUACUUUUUGCCCCUCGCAACAACUCAUUCUUGGCCCAAACCCAUUCACCACUCGUUCAACACUCCCUUUCCCUGGACACUGCCCUUUCCCUCUGGACGAUUUGGGCCACUGAACUGUUGUGUGUGUUCUAUCUCGGGUGAACUUCAGAACUCUUUCGCGCGUCUAAUGGAUCGUUUCUCGCGUGAUAAUGGAUCCAUCGAAUAAUGUUUUCUUGUGAAAUAAUUGUGACUUAAUUCUGUACUUCUCAUGAAUGGCCAUUAACUUUAAAUGUUAAAUGUUGUUUGUCUAUGUCAAAAUAUAAUAUAAUUGGUACCACCUAAAACUUAUAUCAUUGUGUUCAGUCUCCUUUCCUCCACUCCUAGAGCCGAACUUAGAUCUGUCUGAUCUCUAGCCCAAUUCAACCAAUACUCUAACUGCAAACUAGUACUAAUACAGCGCUAAUAGUAGCGGCAUAUAGGCUACACUAGACCAUGACAAGUUGUUUUGAUCAUCAAGUAAAAUAUUAGAUUGUUCAUUGUUCUUUUGUCAUUUUGUCUCAUUUCUGUAAUAUUUUGUCUUGCUUUUGUUGUUUUGUCUUUUUUGUCUUGCUUUAGUCGUUUGUGUAAUUUUUUGUCGUUUUGUUUCUCGUUUUUGUCGUUUUGUUUCCGUUUGUCUCGCUUGUGUUUAUCUCACUUCUGCCAUUUGUGUUUUGUUUUAUUCAUUGUUUUGUGUAUUGUUUGUGUCGUUUUGUGCUUCCUUAUUGUCUCGCUUGUGUCAUUUGUCAAUUUUUUGUCAUUUUGUUUCUCAUUUUUGUCAAUUUGUGUCUCAUUUUUGUAAUAUUUUGUCUUGUUUUUGGUUUUUUUGACUUUUUUUGUCUGGCUUUUGUUGUUUGUCUCAUUUUUGUCAUUUUGUGUGCCAUUUUUGCAAUUUUUGUCUAAUUUUUGUAUUUUUUCCUCUUGUUUUGGUCAUUUUGUGUCUCAUUUUUGUAAUAUUUUGUCUUGUUUUGUUUGUUUUGUUUUCUAGACACUGUGAUCUGUAAGUUGUAAUGUGUCAAUGAUAAACUGAGGCAUAAUAUUGUUGGAAUUGUUCUUUUUUUUUAAAGAGACAUUUCAGGUUGUUCAUAAUGUUUUAUAAAAAAGCUGUGAAAUUUUUCAGAAUGUACUUUUUUGCACUAAAACAAAGGAAAUAUUUGGAGUAAAAUGAGUUUGACUGUCCUGCCUUAAAGGACAACAAAACCAGCAACAGUGCAAAAACCUUAAAAACGGUGCACAAUUAUAAUGUUUUAUUUCCAAAAAGCAAUUCCUUGGAACACCUCAGAGCAAAUAUUUCCCAUUUGGAAGUAUAGAUUGCACAUAUCAGGUAGUAUUUACUGCAGCAGUACACAGCAUAGAGUAUUGUCUGUACUCGUUAAUGUGUCAUUGAAUGCAACACUGUGGCUCAUUUAUGUGUUUUUACUUAUUAUUAUUUCAUUAUUAUGUAAUUUAAUUAUAUCAGGCUUUAGGAUACUUGUUAAAAGGAUCAGUCUAUUAUCAGUUUUUGUCAUUUUUCAUAGAAUUGGUUAACAUUUCCUGCCUUGUCCUUGAACCAUACUGUACAUGUGAUGCUCAUGCGUGAGCUCAGUUUGUGGCUUUAUUAUGUGUGUGUGUUUGUGUGUGUUCGUGGGCGUCAAACCACAUGAAUAAAUAUGGCCACGGAGAUAGCCCAGGGUUUGUUGACUGCUCUGAUGUUUAAAUUUGUGCAGUGGCUUCUCCCGGCAAAGCCUGUGAGUCACUCUCUGAUACAAGCUAACGCUAAAAGCAACACUGGGUCAGCGCUAACCUAUUCUAAUUUAAUGCUGAGGGGAAAACUGCUUAGGUAGCUGUGAAUUGUUGCCAGCCUUAGCUAAUUCCACCACCCAGAUGACCGGGCUAGUGGUUUUUCAAGAAGAUCGAUGUGUGCGAGAGACUUGCCUCAUGCUAAUAACAUUGACACAGAUUUUGAUAUUAGCCGGCUAGGCUAAUGCAUUCUAAUGCAUUCCCUAUUGCUUGUCUGUUACCCAGACAGGAUAAGUGUGUAGCAUCCUGUCUGACUCACCGAGAUCUCAUUAUGGAUCUCUCUGGCCUGUCGCUGGCAUCCAUCCAUCCAUUCAUCCAUCCAUCCAUCCAUCCAUCCAUCCAUCCAUCCAUCCAUCCCUCCAUCCAUCCAUCCCUCCAUCCGUCCAUCCAUCCCUUCAUCCAUCCUUCACUUCAUCCAUCCAUCCGUCCAUCACUCCAUCCAUCUAUCCAUCCCUCCCUCCCUCCAUCCCUUCAUCCAUCCUUCACUUCAUCCAUCCAUCCAUCCAUCCGUCCAUCCAUCCAUUCCUCCAUCCCUCCCUCCAUCCAUCCAUCACUCCAUCCAUCUAUCCAUCCCUCCCUCCCUCCAUCCCUUCAUCCAUCCUUCACUUCAUCCAUCCAUCCAUCCAUCCAUCCAUCCAUCCCUCCCUCCCUCGCUUGUCUCAUCCAUCUCUCUCUUUCGGCUCUUGGGCCCUCUUCCCUCCUGCUCUUUUCAGUAUGCAUCGCUACGUAUCCGCCGAGUUCAGGUGAGAGUCAGUGCUUCUGCAUAAGUCCCCGUGUGAGUGUGCGUUUGUCGGCAUAGAUUAGUGAGCAUGUGUGUGUUGGCGAGGGAGUGUGUUUGCAUGUAAAUCCAGGCUUGCGUGAGUGUGUUCCUCCAUCGUAAAGAGACGCACGGUUGAGUGAAUUACGACUUGAUCUUGAUUUUACUUGCACGCACAUGAAUGCAGACACACGAGAACCGACGCUUACUCACACACACACACACACACACACACACACACACACACACACACACACACACACACACACACACACACACACACACUCUCUGAGUGCUACAUUGCGGUGUUGCAGAUGGCUUCCUUGCAGCCCAGCUGUGCUUUGUGCAUGUUUGCCUGCAUGUGUUUGUGCAUGAGUGUGUUUUGUGUGCACGUGUGUGUGCACGUGUGUGAUUGAUUACUGUUCUUAUUCUCUGCCAGGUGCUUCAACAGCAGUCUUCGCUCUCUUUCCCCCCUUUUCCCUCCGUUUAUUGUCUGUUUUUGUCGUUCGUCUAAUUUUGUGUACUUUUGUUUCCUUUUUGUCUCACUUGUGCUUUUUUGACUUGUCAUUUUGUGUUUUGCUUUUUCAUUGUUUUGUGUGUCGUUUUUGUCGUUUUGUUCCACGCUUUUGUCAUUUUUUGUCUCAGUGUCAUUUGGCCAUUUUUUUUGUAACUUUGUAACUUUUUUGUCGAAUUUUUUUGUCUCUUUUAGUUUUAUUUCAUGUUGUCUCAUUUUUUGCUAUUUUGUCUUGACUUUAUUUUUUGUCUUUUUUUGUUUGACUUAUCAUUUGUCUCUUGUUGUUGUCAAUUUGUUUCUCAUUUUUGUCGUUUUGUUUCCUUUUUGUCUCACUUGUAUUCUUUGUCUUAUUGUUGUGAUUUUGUGUUUUGCUUUAUUCAUUGUUUUGUGUGUCGUUUUUGUCAUUUUGUGUCACGCUUUUGUUGUUUUUGGUCUCCAUUGUGUAAUUUGUGUAAUUUUUGUCUCGUUUGCCCAUUUUUUUUGUCACUUUGUAACUUUUAUGUCUCAUUUUUUGUCUCUUUUCUGUUUAGUUUCACAUCAUUUCGUUUGUUCUUUUUUGUCAUUUUGUUUCUCGGUUUUGUUGUUUUGUGUCUCAUUUUUGUAAUAUUUUGUGUUGUUUUUGUUGUUUUUUUCUAUUUUUGUCUGACUUGUCGUUUGUCUAAUUUUUUGUCGUUUUGUUUCUCGUUUUUGUUGUUUUAUGUUUCCUUUUUGUCUCACUUGUGUUGUUUGUCCAUUUUUUUGUUGUUUUGUUUCUUGGUUUUGUCAUUUUUUUGUUUCAUUUUUGGAAUAUUUUGUCUUGUUUUUGUUUUUUGUCUUGUUUUUGUCUGACUUUUCAUUCUGAUCAUCAUAUCAUCCAGUUCCAGAUAGCUGUGACUGAAAGUUGUGUUCUUUUGUAGACACUUUGUGAUCUGUAAGUUUUAAUGUGUAAAUGAUAAACUGAGGCAUAAUGUUGUUGGAAUUUUAACUUAUUUUUCUGAAGAAUUUUCAGGUUGUUCAUGAUGUUUUGUAAAAAAGAUUUCAGAAUGUACUUUUUUGCACCAAAACAAAGGAAAUAUUUGGAGUUGUGCUUAUUUUUAGGUUACUAUGCUGGGAUUUUAUUGGUGUUUUCGCCACAUAUUACAGCCCAGAACACUCUGGCAGCUUCAUUCUUAGCGCUCAUUGUUUUGCUCACCGCGGUGGAAAUACAUCGGAACAAGCGAGAUAAUUGAUGAUAUCGAAUCAUAAUUUAAUUUCAAAUUUUGGCUCAGACUUAUCGUUCAUCUGAGCCUCAGGUGACUGUGUUUAGUGGGUGAAUGUGUGCGUGUGUGUGUGUGUGUGUGUGUGUGUGCGUGCGUGCGUGCGUGUGUGUGUUCUUUCAUCCUGGCUUCCAUGGCUACGGUGAGGCCAGCCGAUAGACAUCUGAGUGAGAGGUCAUUAGCAUCUCCCUCAUGUUUUCUCUGCAUGAGAACAUCAGCAAUUAGCCAGAUCCCGACCAUGGCCCUGCUCGCCUUCCUGUCUGGGUGACUGAGCAGCACACCUCGGGUCGGAGCUGCGAUCUAGAUCGCAAGUCGACAUGGAGUCCAUCUCUGACGUCUGUGCCGUGAUUGUUUUGUUUGUGUUUCUUCGCUCUGUGUUUUGUUCCUCGUCUGGAGCUGUUUGGUUGAUUUAGCACAGCUCGCCAUGUGUGCUGCUGGGCCCAGUUUCUUAGGACUUUUUAUGUUUUGCACGAAGGCCUGACUGUUGGUUGUUAGCAGUUUGACGUGUGAGGUGUGUGUUUGUGGGUUGCAUGUGUAUCCAAGGUGAUGGGCCGGCUUUGACAAUAACACUCUGAUAAAAAAAAAAAAAAAAAAAAAAAUCUCCUCUGCACUAAACCCACCUCCGCAAUGCUGCAACCUCUUUCUCAGAGAGACACACAGAGAGAGAGAAGAGAAAAGCAAACAGAGAGAUAAGAGAAGGAAAGCAAACAGAGAGAGAACAGAGGAUGAAAGGCAGAGAAACACUGAGCGACAAACAAAAAUAGCGACGGAGGAAGAGAAACAGUAGGAAAACAAACCGGAGGAGUGUCAGACGGAGCAACUCCAUUAACGCUGCCUUUGACAUCCACAUACCAGUGCACAUUGUUAAACCCGUCGCCACAGCAACGCCCCUUUGUCUGUGGCCGUCGGCAUGCCAGCGUGCCCGCCGUACCCAGAUCUAGCAUCGGGCCUGUACCCACUUUCAGAUCACACAAGCGGAGCGGCGUUCAUUCACCGACUGUGUGGCUCCGGUUGCUAUGGAAGCUAAUUCACAGGCAGAGAACUCACUUUGUGUCCGCAGCACAGAGGCAGUCAAGCAACACAUACAUGCACGUGCAGACGCAUGCAUGUGGGCAAACACACGCACACGUGCAACCUAGCAACAGCUCUUCAGAUGGGGUUUGGCUAAUGUGCUCAGCGGGGACUCCGCAGGGGAUUUAUUUUUUCUCCUUUACCCUCGUCAGUCUUUCACGUCGUCAUCAUAGAAGUAAAGAUUUAGUAAAUUUGCAAAACAUGCAGCUGUAACAGGUCAGCGAUGUGUAUUUAUAUGUGGGAGGCAUGAUUCUGCACCUGAAGCCUGACUGCUGGGUGGAUGCAGCCACUUCAGCAUGAAUUCCUAAGUUGUUUGAUGGCAUGUUGUAAACUGAACAUUAUAAGUGUUUAAAUGAGUUGUUUUAAGACAGGGGUGUCAAACUCAUUUUAGUUCGGGGGCCACAUACAGGCCAAGUCAUCCGGACCCGUAAAAUCACAGCAUAUUAACCUAUAAAUAAUCACAACUCCAAAUGUUUGCUUUGUUUUAGUGCAAAAAAGGUCAUUCUGAAUAUGUUCACUGUUAAUGAAUUAUAUUUUUACAAAACGUUAUGAACAACCUGAAAAUUCUUUAGAAGAAAAUGAGUUAAAUUAAAAACUACAUUAUGCUUCCAUUUAUCAUUUACACACUAAAACUUACAGAUCACAGUGUUUCUACAAAGACACAAAACAUUUAGUCACAGCUAUCUGGAACUGAAUAAUAUAGUAUUUUACUUUAUGGUCAAAAUGACAAAAGUAAGACAAAAAAAGACCAAAAAAAUCCCUAAAGACAAUACAAAAUAUUACAAAAAUGACAAACGAGAAACAAAACAACAAAAACAAGACAAAAUGUUACAAAUAUAAGACAAAAAAUUACAAAAGUAAGAAACACGACAAAAAAUGCACCAACAACAAAAGGGAGACAAAAAAUAAUAAACAAAACAACAAAUAAAGCAAAAAAGAAAAUGACAAAAGUAAGACAAAAAAAACACAAGUUAGACAAAAAAGAAACACAAAGCAACAAAAACAUGAGACAAAUGGCAAAAGUCAGACAAAAAAGUCAAAAAACAACAAAAAGGCAAAUAUUACAAAAAUGAGGCACAAAAUGACAAAAAUAAGACAAAAAACACAAGCGAGACAAAAAGGAAAUACAAAACGACAGAAACGAGAAACAAACAACAAAAAUGAGAAACAAUUUGACAAAAAUAAACGACAGCAAGACAAGUGAAGACAAAAAACAACAAAAUAAGACAAAUGAUUACAAAAAUUUUACAAAAAAUAACAAAAGCGAGAAACAGUACAACAAAAAAAAUGGACAAAUGACACAAGCAAGACAAAAAGGAAACACAAAACAACAAAAACAUGAAACAAAUUACAAAAAAAUCGGACAAACGACAAAAGCAAGACAAAAAAACACCAAAAACAAAACAAAAUAUUACAAAAACGACAAAAGAACAAUGAGCAAUCUAGUAUUUUACUUUAUGAUCAAACCAAACAACUUGUCAAGGUCUAGAAAUUAUUAUAAAUUUAUAGUUUUACAAAUUUACAACCUGCAGUUAAUGUCUUCUCUGUAAUUUUUGUAAACUGGCCAGAUUGGACACUCUGGGGGGCCAGUUUUGGCCCGCGGGCCACAUGUUUGACACCCCUGAGGCAACACAGAGAGAAUUUUCAAUGCAACUGUCAUAACUCCCCAGGAUUAUUAAUUUGAAGCCCCAGUGCGCUCACCUGAACACACUUUUAUAAUUUUUAAUGAAACAAAGCUCAGAUGUGUCUCUAAAUUCUGCAUCAUUCUCUUCUCAGGCUGUGAUCAGGUAAACAUGUGGAUGUGUGUUUCUGUAGCUCCUUCAUCUCUCUCUAUUCUCACUUUUUUUUCUAAACGCAGCAUUAUGUAACUCCGGCAGCUGUUUGAAGACGCGGGAGGGGAGGGGAGGGUAGGUGGGUAGAAAACUUUUCAAAGUGCUGCCGUUGUCGUGUGAUCAGGAGAGAAACUGGUGACAGCUUCUCGCUCCAGUACGAUUCUCCACAAUUGCCAGGUCUCGUUGCACAGGCUUCCUGCGAGCUCUAAUGGCUGUUAUUUCCACCUCUCAGCUUCUCUCACACAGCAUACGGAAAGCAAUCUCCAUGCCCGACUCGUAGCUGUUUUUCCGUUUUGUUCAAAUUUCCCAUAUUGCGUCGUGUUUUUCGUCGGCUUUCUCUGCCUUUCUCUCCCCUCCUUGGCGUCGCUCUUUGUUUGCUCUUUCUUUCACCUCA